AGGGUUUGAUUCUGGCUCAGGAUGAACGCUGGCGGCGUGCUUAACACAUGCAAGUCGAACGAAGCACUCUAUUUGAUUUUCUUCGGAAAUGAAGAUUUUGUGACUGAGUGGCGGACGGGUGAGUAACGCGUGGGUAACCUGCCUCAUACAGGGGGAUAACAGUUGGAAACGACUGCUAAUACCGCAUAAGCGCACAGAGCUGCAUGGCUCAGUGUGAAAAACUCCGGUGGUAUAAGAUGGACCCGCGUUGGAUUAGCUUGUUGGUGGGGUAACGGCCCACCAAGGCGACGAUCCAUAGCCGGCCUGAGAGGGUGAACGGCCACAUUGGGACUGAGACACGGCCCAG
rnacentral:rRNA from 1 species